rnacentral:rRNA from 1 species
GACGAACCGUGCGAACGUUGUUCGGAAUCACUGGUCUUAAAGGGCGCGUAGGCGGGUCUUCAAGUCAGGGGUGAAAUCCUCCGGCUCAACCGGAGAAGUGCUUUUGAUACUGGAGAUCUCGAGUGAGGUAGGGGCAUGUGGAACUUCCGGUGGAGCGGUGAAAUGCGUAGAUAUCGGAAGGAACACCUGCGGCGAAAGCGGCGCACUGGACCACUACUGACGCUGAGGCGCGAAAGCUAGGGGAGCAAACAGG